GGCGUGCCUCCAGCGCGCUGUGGGCACCAUCCUCGUCCUGUCCCUCCUGCGGGCCCUGGGUACGUGGCCCUGGAUUUAGCUUGUGUUGGAGGAAGUUAAAUCUGUGGGUGGGGUCUGUGCCCAAUUUAAGGCGUGAAUCAGCAAACUGGGGUCCCAGCUCCUGUCGGCCGGGCGACCUUCUGCGCGCCCUCCCUGAAACUGUGUCGUCGUCUGUGGCCGAGUUUUUAAACUUUAGAUCGCAACGUGAGUUUAGUGGGCGGUGACUAGCACUUUUGUUCUUCUUUAAGGACCUCAGAGACUCAGUGCAGGAUUCGGGCAUCCCCUCCUUGCCCCUCCGGUCCACCAACUAAUAAGCCAAGUGCGGCGGGGGCUUCCUCGUCCGUUCGUUAGGCCGAGUGCAGCCCCACUUUUGCGCAGGAUCAGGACAGUCAGACCCGAGAAGGCAGCGUGGCGUGGCCAUCUCCGGGCCCGGGGCCCCUGCCGGGCGGGAAGGGAGCUGGAGGCCCGGUCUGGGCUGAGCUCCCCAGAACAGGCGCAGGGCAGGCACUGUCGAGCGCAGACCUCAUGCCGGGGACCAAGCUGGACAUGCAUUCCCAGGAUCUACCCACGAGGGUGCAUAAACACCAGUUCUGAUGACGGCUGUACGGGAAGGGACAGAGGUGACCUACUUUAGCCAGACAAGGGCUGAGGCUGGGACAGUUUCGUUCUGAUAGGAAAGCUGAGAAUUUGACCCUCCUUGCCUGGAAAGUUUACCUCUAUCCACCUCCACGUGAGGCGAGGGAGCAGGUCAAGUGCCUCUGGGAGCUGUUGAAUCGCAGCAGCCCCAACCCCUAGGCCUUUCUCUGCCCUGCCAGCCCCAGGAUGGCCUGACUGGUGUUCUCUGAGUACAGCUGAGGCACCC
rnacentral:lncRNA from 1 species